GUGGAGGCGUCAACGACGACAUCCGGACGAGCGCACCGUACCCGGCCAGCGACAAGACGGUGCCUA
rfam:Rhodococcus sp. RD6.2 genome assembly, contig: RHCRD62_Contig_6